GAUGAACGCUGGCGGCGUGCUUAACACAUGCAAGUCGAACGAACGACUAUUAACAGAACCUUUCGGGGCGAAGAUGAUAGAAGUUAGUGGCGGACGGGUGCGUAACGCGUGGGUAAUCUGCCUUUGUCAAAGGAAUAACUAUUCGAAAGAAUAGCUAAAACCGUAUAACAUAUUAAUAGGGCAUCCUAAUAAUAUCAAAACGAUAGUGGACAAAGAUGAGCCCGCGUCUGAUUAGCUAGUUGGUGAGAUAAAAGCCUACCAAGGCAACGAUCAGUAGCCGACCUGAGAGGGUGAACGGCCACAUUGGAACUGAGACACGGUCCAAACUCCUACGGGAGGCAGCAGUGGGGAAUAUUGCACAAUGGGGGGAACCCUGAUGCAGCAACGCCGCGUGAGUGAAGAAGGCAUUCGUGUCGUAAACGGGAAGAAAGAAAUGACAGUACCCUAAAAGAAAGCCCCGGCUAACUACGUGCCAGCAGCCGCGGUAAUACGUAGGGGGCAAGCGUUAUCCGGAGUAACUGGGCGUAAAGGGUGCGCAGGUGGUUUAACAAGUUAGUGGUGAAAGGCAUAGGCUCAACCAAUGUAAGCCAUUAAAACUGUUUAACUUGAGUGCAGGAGAGGAAAGUGGAAUUCCUAGUGUAGCGGUGAAAUGCGUAGAUAUUAGGAGGAAUACCAGUGGCGAAGGCGACUUUCUGGACUGUAACUGACACUGAGGCACGAAAGCGUGGGGAGCAAACAGGAUUAGAUACCCUGGUAGUCCACGCCGUAAACGAUGAGUACUAGGUGUCGGGUGAAGAACUCGGUGCCGAAGUUAACACAUUAAGUACUCCGCCUGGGGAGUACGCUCGCAAGAGUAAAACUCAAAGGAAUUGACGGGGACCCGCACAAGCAGCGGAGCAUGUGGUUUAAUUCGAAGCAACGCGAAGAACCUUACCUAAACUUGACAUACCAAUGACAGCCUUUUAAUCGAGGACUUUUACCUUCGGGUAGACAAUGGAUACAGGUGGUGCAUGGUUGUCGUCAGCUC
rnacentral:rRNA from 1 species